AUACCCUAACUGCCUGAACAAAAACAAAUUCUGAUGUUUACAUAGUGUCAGGCGGGUCUUAUCAAUUUUUUUAAAAUACAUUUUUCAAAUACUUUAUAGAUUCCGGUAUGUAAUUUUUUAAUACUCAAUUAAAUAUUAUUAUGGGUUUUAUAAAAAUGUGUAUAUGGAUGAUCAAGAAAAAGUUUUAUGUGCUGGUUAUUUUUGGAAUAACACUUUGCACUUUAUUCUUUUGGUUUCAUUACUCGCUAAUAAAUGAUAUUGAUCGAAAAGCGCGACUAGAAAAAAUUAAUUUGUUUAUAAAAAAAGAGGCUAGUAAUAUAUCUUGUAAAAAACCAAUUUUACCGGUUUAUGCUCCUGAAAUAAUGAAAUUUAUAAAAAACGUUGCUCCAAUUGAUUGCACAAAAUCUGGAAUAGAUUGGGUCAAGUGUCAUGGUUCUGAAUGUGUUAUACGGGAACAAGCCAAAAUUAAAUACGGCCCCAUUAAAUGCUCAUUUACUGAUAUAAUUCGCGUCAAUGAUUUUAAAUUAAUUGACGGUGAAACAUUCUACUCCAGUGAAUAUUAUAAAUUAGAGCAAAGUGAUGUGGUAAAAGUUUCGUGUAAAUCUGCAGACUAUAAGUGGUCUGCAAUUUUAACAGGUAUCAGAAUAGAUAACAAUAUUUGGGACAAAGCCAACUGGGAGGAAAUGUCCAGUAGUUCCUUAAAAAUGAACGUUUUACUGUUUGGUUUUGAUUCGAUUUCUCGAAACUCAUUUAUAAGAAAACUUCCGAAAAGCUACGAUUACUUAGUUAAUGUUCUGGAUGCUAUUGUCCUUCAAGGAUACAACGUAGUGGGCGAUGGAACUCCGCAGGCUCUAAUUCCUAUGCUAACAGGAAAAACUGAACUUGAACUUCCAGACACUAGGAAACGAUUAGAAGGCACCCAUAAUGUAGACGUUUAUCCGUUUAUAUGGAAAGAUUACAAAAACGUCGGCUAUGUAACGGCUUUCUUCGAAGAUCUACCCGAUCAAGGCACUUUUACUUACAGAUUGAAUGGAUUUGAGGAGGCUCCAGCAGAUCACUACAUGAGACCAUAUUUUAUGGCGUCGGCGAAACAGAAUGGUUGGCCAAAAUACUGUGCUGGAGAAACGCCAAACCAUAAAGUUAUGUUCAAUAUGGUUAGAGAUUUUUUUAGUGUAUAUCAGUCAAAACCGAAAUUUCUUUUCGGAUUCCAUGGAGAGCUAUCCCAUGACGACUACAAUCUAAUUGGGGUAGCUGACCAAGAUUUAGCUGCUCUGCUAGGAGAAAUGAACGAAUCAGGUGCUCUGAAUAACACAGUUUUAGUUAUCAUGGCUGAUCAUGGUCAUAGGUUAUACAGAGAAACCACUAGGGUUGUUCAAAAUUGUGUCAAAAUUCAGAUUUGCAGAUGUUAGAAACACAAUACAAGGGAAACAAGAAGAGAGAUUACCAUUUUUUUCCUUUACAUUUCCACCUUGGUUUAAAAAAAACUACCCGCAUCUUUACAAGAAUUUUAAACUCAACGAGGACAAACUGGUUACGCCUUUUGAUAUUUAUGAGACCUUAAAGGAUAUUAUAGACCUGAAACAUACUGGCGUUGCUGAUAUUAACCAGAGAGCUGUUUCAUUAUUUUCGAAAAUACCUGAAGAGAGAUCAUGUGCUCAUGCUUACAUAGAACCCCAUUGGUGUGCCUGUUUAGACUGGAAACAUAUAGAUUUAUCAAAUCCUAUUGUUCAUAGACUAGGAGAAGUAUUAGUUCAUACGAUAAACAAUUUUACUAAUGUGCAUAGAGAUAUAUGUGAAAAACUUUCCUUGUCUAAUAUUAUUUGGGCUAUGAAGUUGGCGCCUAACGAAAUGUUACUGAAAUUCAGUAGAAAUGCUGAUAUUGAUGGGUUUG
rnacentral:misc_RNA from 1 species